rnacentral:lncRNA from 1 species
CUGACUCUUCACGACCACCACCCGUCCCACCGAGAGAGAUUUCAACCCAUUCACAGACUCCAGGAUGCGUUGCUGAAGGGUAGGGGCGCACAUGCCGUGCCGUGAGGAGCCACGUCACUGGGACACCAGGACUGAGUCCCAGAGCACCAGGGCACCCGUCUUCCCCCGGCUCGCUCUGGCCAGGCCUGCUCACCUGGAUCCUGCUCCGGGUCUCUACCAGCUCCUCCCCCCAGCCGUAAUAGUCAGGCAGAUCAGCCAGCUGGCCAGUCACGUCGGGCUCCUCCAGGGACCCCAGCUUCUUGCAGAACGCGCAGCGCGGCCCACCCUCCUCACCUUGCUGUCCUUGCGGAACGGGAACUCGGAGAAGCUCCUCUUCAUCAUGUCCUCCACCCUGAGUGCAUCCACCCGCAGCAGGUUGAGGAUCAUAGUGUCGGCCAUCUCGGGCACGCGGGCCUUGCAGAGCAGCAC